rnacentral:rRNA from 1 species
AAACUUUCAACAACGGAUCUCUUGGCUCUGGCAUCGAUGAAGAACGCAGCGAAAUGCGAUAAGUAAUGCGAAUUGCAGAAUUCAGUGAAUCAUCGAACCUUUGAACGCACAUAGCGCCCGCCAGUAUUCUGGCGGGCAUGCCUGUCCGAGCGUUAUUU